rnacentral:rRNA from 1 species
GACGGGGGAUGCGAGCGUUAUCCGGAAUGAUUGGGCGUAAAGGGUCCGCAGGUGGCCCGGUCAGUCCGCUGUCAAAGCCUGGGGCUCAACCCUGGAGAGGCGGCGGAGACCACCGGGCUUGAGUCCGGUAGGGGCAGAGGGAAUUCCCGGUGGGGCGGUGAAAUGCGUAGAGAUUGGAAAGAACACCGAUGGCGAAGGCACUUUACUGGGCUAUUACUAACACUGAGAGACGAAAGCUAGGGUAGCAAAUGGG